rnacentral:lncRNA from 1 species
AGCAGGGCGGGGCACGGUGGCUCACGCCUGUAAUCCCAGCACUUUGGAAGGCCGAGGUGGAUGGAUCACAAGGUCAGGAGUUCAAGACCAGCCUGAUCAACAUAAUGAAACCCCAUCUCGACUAAAAACACAAAAAUUAGCUAGGCAUGAUGGUGGGUGACUGUAAUCCCAGCUACUCAGGAGGCUGAGGCAGGAGAAUCGCUUGAACUGCAGAGGCGGAGGUUGCAAUGAGCCUAGAUCGCACCAUUGCACUCCAGCCUGGGCAACAGAGCAAGACUCUGUCUCAAAAAAAAAAAAAAAAAAGAACCACUUGCCAUAUUUCACAGAAAAGAUGAUCAAACCAAACAAAAAUAUCUAUUGUGUUUUUUAUUGGGAUUGCAUUGAUUCUAUAGACCAAUUGGCAUUUUUUUUGUCUUCUUUUAGACAGGGUCACCCAGGCCGGAGUGGUGCAGUGGCAUGAUCAUAGCUUACUGCAGUCUCAAACUCCUAGGCUCAAGUGAUCUUGCCUCAGCCUCCAGAGGAGUGGAGACAGGCACGUGCCACCAUGCCUGGCUAAUUUUUUACUUUUAUUUUUAAUAGAGAUGAAGUCUUUUGCCCAGGCUGGUCUAGAACUCCUGGGCUCAAGUGAUCCUCCCUCUCAGGCUCCCAAGUGCUGGGGUUACAAGCGUGAACCACCAUGCCCAGCACAAUUGACAUAUUUAAAGUUUUGCAUCAUAACUGUGGCAUAGCUCUUCAUUUUUUCAGAUCUCUUUAAUUUUCUCUCAAUAACAUUUAUAGUUUUCUGUACAGAGUCCCAAACAAUUUGUUGGAUUCAUUCCUGGGCACUAAAGUAUUUUUUGAUGUCAUUAGAAAUGGUAUUAAAAUUUUGUGAACUGCAGAUAUUACCUAGAAAUACAAACCAGCUUUAUAAAUUAAACUUGUAACCAGCUACUUACUUAACUUUCUUAAAUUCUAAUAAUUUAGAUAUUGUGAGGUUUGUUCUUUCUUUCAAAUAAUUAUAAACUUUAUUUAUUUUUCUUGAGUUAGUGUAUCAGCUGGGAUCUUCAUUAAA